GGCGCCAUCGUCUAUCGGUUAGGACAUCGCCCUUUCAAGGCGGGAAGACGGGUUCGAUUCCCGUUGGCGCUACCA
rnacentral:tRNA from 1 species